rnacentral:SRP_RNA from 1 species
GCCGGGUGUGGUGGUGCAUUCCUGUAGUCCCAGCUACUUGGGAGGCUGAGGCAGAAGAAUUGCUUGAACCCAGGAGGUGGAAGUUGCAGUGAGCUGAGAUCGCACCACUGCACUUCAGCUUGGGUGACAGAGCAAGACUCUGUCUCAA